rnacentral:rRNA from 1 species
GUGAGUAACACGUGGAUAACCUACCUAUAAGACUGGGAUAACUUCGGGAAACCGGAGCUAAUACCGGAUAAUAUUUUGAACCGCAUGGUUCAAAAGUGAAAGACGGUCUUGCUGUCACUUAUAGAUGGAUCCGCGCUGCAUUAGCUAGUUGGUAAGGUAACGGCUUACCAAGGCAACGAUGCAUAGCCGACCUGAGAGGGUGAUCGGCCACACUGGAACUGAGACACGGUCCAGACUCCUACGGGAGGCAGCAGUAGGGAAUCUUCCGCAAUGGGCGAAAGCCUGACGGAGCAACGCCGCGUGAGUGAUGAAGGUCUUCGGAUCGUAAAACUCUGUUAUUAGGGAAGAACAUAUGUGUAAGUAACUGUGCACAUCUUGACGGUACCUAAUCAGAAAGCCACGGCUAACUACGUGCCAGCAGCCGCGGUAAUACGUAGGUGGCAAGCGUUAUCCGGAAUUAUUGGGCGUAAAGCGCGCGUAGGCGGUUUUUUAAGUUUGAUGUGAAAGCCCACGGCUCAACCGUGGAGGGUCAUUGGAAACUGGAAAACUUGAGUGCAGAAGAGGAAAGUGGAAUUCCAUGUGUAGCGGUGAAAUGCGCAGAGAUAUGGAGGAACA